AGACCCGAAACCCGGUGAUCUAGCCAUGGGCAGGUUGAAGGUUGGGUAACACUAACUGGAGGACCGAACCGACUAAUGUUGAAAAAUUAGCGGAUGACCUGUGGCUGGGGGUGAAAGGCCAAUCAAACCGGGAGAUAGCUGGUUCUCCCCGAAAGCUAUUUAGGUAGCGCCUCGUGAAUUCAUCUCCGGGGGUAGAGCACUGUUUCGGCUAGGGGGCCAUCCCGGCUUACCAACCCGAUGCAAACUGCGAAUACCGGAGAAUGUUAUCACGGGAGACACACGGCGGGUGCUAACGUCCGUCGUGAAGAGGGAAACAACCCAGACCGCCAGCUAAGGUCCCAAAGUCAUGGUUAAGUGGGAAACGAUGUGGGAAGGCCCAGACAGCCAGGAUGUUGGCUUAGAAGCAGCCAUCAUUUAAAGAAAGCGUAAUAGCUCACUGGUCGAGUCGGCCUGCGCGGAAGAUGUAACGGGGCUAAACCAUGCACCGAAGCUGCGGCAGCGAACGUAUCACCCAAGACAACUUUACGGAGUUGACGAUUGACGGAGCGAAGCGACGUCAAAGCGUUCAUUAAAGUCGAGUUGGCUUAGGGAUACGUUCGUUGGGUAGGGGAGCGUUCUGUAAGCCUGUGAAGGUGUGUCGUGAGGCAUGCUGGAGGUAUCAGAAGUGCGAAUGCUGACAUAAGUAACGAUAAAGCGGGUGAAAAGCCCGCUCGCCGGAAGACCAAGGGUUCCUGUCCAACGUUAAUCGGGGCAGGGUGAGUCGACCCCUAAGGCGAGGCCGAAAGGCGUAGUCGAUGGGAAACGGGUUAAUAUUCCCGUACUUGGUGUUACUGCGAAGGGGGGACGGAGAAGGCUAUGUUGGCCGGGCGACGGUUGUCCCGGUUUAAGCGUGUAGGUGUGUGUUCCAGGUAAAUCCGGUUCACUUUAACACUGAGGCGUGACGACGAGGCACUACGGUGCUGAAGCAACAAAUGCCCUGCUUCCAGGAAAAGCCUCUAAGCAUCAGGUAACAUCAAAUCGUACCCCAAACCGACACAGGUGGUCAGGUAGAGAAUACCAAGGCGCUUGAGAGAACUCGGGUGAAGGAACUAGGCAAAAUGGUGCCGUAACUUCGGGAGAAGGCACGCUGACACGUAGGUGAAGUGAUUUACUCAUGGAGCUGAAGUCAGUCGAAGAUACCAGCUGGCUGCAACUGUUUAUUAAAAACACAGCACUGUGCAAACACGAAAGUGGACGUAUACGGUGUGACGCCUGCCCGGUGCCGGAAGGUUAAUUGAUGGGGUCAGCGCAAGCGAAGCUCCUGAUCGAAGCCCCGGUAAACGGCGGCCGUAACUAUAACGGUCCUAAGGUAGCGAAAUUCCUUGUCGGGUAAGUUCCGACCUGCACGAAUGGCGUAAUGAUGGCCAGGCUGUCUCCACCCGAGACUCAGUGAAAUUGAACUCGCUGUGAAGAUGCAGUGUACCCGCGGCAAGACGGAAAGACCCCGUGAACCUUUACUAUAGCUUGACACUGAACAUUGAGCCUUGAUGUGUAGGAUAGGUGGGAGGCUUUGAAGUGUGGACGCCAGUCUGCAUGGAGCCGACCUUGAAAUACCACCCUUUAAUGUUUGAUGUUCUAACGUGGACCCGUAAUCCGGGUUGCGGACAGUGUCUGGUGGGUAGUUUGACUGGGGCGGUCUCCUCCUAAAGAGUAACGGAGGAGCACGAAGGUUGGCUAAUCCUGGUCGGACAUCAGGAGGUUAGUGCAAUGGCAUAAGCCAGCUUGACUGCGAGCGUGACGGCGCGAGCAGGUGCGAAAGCAGGUCAUAGUGAUCCGGUGGUUCUGAAUGGAAGGGCCAUCGCUCAACGGAUAAAAGGUACUCCGGGGAUAACAGGCUGAUACCGCCCAAGAGUUCAUAUCGACGGCGGUGUUUGGCACCUCGAUGUCGGCUCAUCACAUCCUGGGGCUGAAGUAGGUCCCAAGGGUAUGGCUGUUCGCCAUUUAAAGUGGUACGCGAGCUGGGUUUAGAACGUCGUGAGACAGUUCGGUCCCUAUCUGCCGUGGGCGCUGGAGAACUGAGGGGGGCUGCUCCUAGUACGAGAGGACCGGAGUGGACGCAUCACUGGUGUUCGGGUUGUCAUGCCAAUGGCACUGCCCGGUAGCUAAAUGCGGAAGAGAUAAGUGCUGAAAGCAUCUAAGCACGAAACUUGCCCCGAG
rnacentral:rRNA from 1 species